rnacentral:rRNA from 1 species
GACGAACGCUGGCGGCGUGCUUAACACAUGCAAGUCGAACGGAAAGGCCUCUUUCGGGGGGUACUCGAGUGGCGAACGGGUGAGUAACACGUGAGUAACCUGCCCUUGACUUUGGGAUAACUUCAGGAAACUGGGGCUAAUACCGGAUAGGAGCUCCUGCUGCAUGGUGGGGGUUGGAAAGUUUCGGCGGUUGGGGAUGGACUCGCGGCUUAUCAGCUUGUUGGUGGGGUAGUGGCUUACCAAGGCUUUGACGGGUAGCCGGCCUGAGAGGGUGACCGGCCACAUGGGGACUGGGAUACGGCCCAGCCUCCUCCGGGGGGCAGAGGGGGGGAAUAUUGCACAAGGGGUGGAAGCCUGAUGCAGCAACGCCGGGGGCGGGAUUGCGGCCUUCGGGUUUUAAACCGGUUUCGCCCAUGACGAAGCUUGUGGUGACGGGAGGGGGUAAAGAAGCACCGGCUAAUUAAGU